CUGGAGCAGGGACACAUCUGAAACGUGCAGGCCAGUGGACCCCGAGGACCAACAGUGGGGACCAUUGCAUUAGACCACAACACAUUCCUCAUCAAGGCUCGGGGAGAAAUUCACGAGAAGAAAAAAUCCACGUGGAGUAUUGUAAUCAGGGUCUGAAAAAAAAAGACAUCCAUCUGAAUCAUGUCAGGUGGCUGGGAGACCAGCGUGGGUCUCCCUCUCUCUGACAAAUGAAGAAUGUUUCCUUUGGCCAUAGAAACAACCUUUUAAUUUUGACUCUGUUCUCCAAUCUUUGUCUGGAUGCUGGGUGGACGGACACCCACACAAACAAACAAACUAUUGUGGUUUCACCUGUAAAGUUUUUCUUUCUUUUUCUUUUACUGGGUGCAGAAGAACACGCAGACAAAAAAACUUUCCUGAACAAACACAAGAAGCUGGCUGUGCUGCCGCUCCCUGCCCACCAGAGGGUGCAGACAAUGAACCCACAUCACCCCAGAGUUCAACCCAAUUUUUCUUUGGGACCAAAGAAUGAAGCUCCGGAUGCUUGGUGGACAAAAUAAGCCAACAGGACAAGUAAGCUUUGUGAAGAUAUAGACAUGAAGUUUACAUCUAUUCACAAACGCAUGAGCUCAUAUAUUUGUUUGAAGAUGUGCUAACAGAUACUCCUCAAAGGCCUCAUUUUGUGUGCAUUGGAAUAUAUUUUGCACAUCUUGUUCUGGCCCCUCUACUUCAUAAACAAAAAAACAAAACACACACUCACACCACUUGCCAUUACUAUUUCUUCAUAAUAAACUGCUAAACCCAAAAGACCAAAAGUCAAACCAACAACUGGAACAAAAAGCAAACAUAAACCACCAAGGAGACCUCAUCUGACCUGAUGGUCCUGGGUCUGGCCUGAAAACAAGUCCUGAGGCUUUGGGACUUGUUUCUUCAUGUCAUAUCUUGGGACAAUCACCCCAAUCAUUCUGUUUUCCAGGUGAUAACAUGAACAAUCAGGAUCAGCGUGAUUCAUUGUGUGAGGACCAGUAAAUGCUUCAGUUGUGGCAGCAUCUGUCUGCAAAGGACAAACAGAUGUUCCAGAUAUUUCAGUAACACUUGUUUUGUUUAUGUGAGCUAAAUCUAUAAAAGAAGAGCUACAACUGUCUGAAGCUCAAUGGUUGUGUUUAGGUCCUAAACUCCUGGGUUGUUGAAUUUGUUUUGUGCUUGUUUCACGCUUGGUUCAAUAUAUUUCACAUUUGAACGCAUCUUCAUGUCUGGGCUUAGGCUAGGGUGAGAUUCUCAAGAUAAUUUUUCUAUUACAAUAUCAUGACUUUACUGUAACAUGGUGAUUACAUAAAAUCUUCAAGC